rnacentral:lncRNA from 1 species
UCCCGGGUUCGGGCCCUAGUAGUCGGUGGCUGGUCGGUGACUGGGACCAGACCGUCGCCUCCUCCCUUUUACAGCUUUAAGUCUGUGACCCGAGGCCUCUCUGUAUAUUCCCGUGGGGUUGGGCCUAGUUGUCCUGGGAGAAACUAGAUGGAUGAGGAGUAUUUCCGAGACAGGUCCCAGGGCCAGCGCAGCCUUUUCUGUUGCAGAACCGCGACUGUUGUUUUGGGAUCCAGGCCGGAGGGUUUGUUGCUUGUGUUCAUUCCAGUUAACCAUUAGUACUCGAGAAGGUGGUACAGAACGCAUCUAUCCCCUUAGAAGAAAAGAAAUUAAAAGCCAAACUAAACUGGGAUAUAUAUUAAUAUAGGAAACUACCACUGAGACAUAGGAAAGUGUAUUAAAAUAUAACUAGUGAGGUGCUAUGUAUAAUUCAGAGGAAGGGGAAAUUAUGCAUGGGCCAGACUACUAACAAAAGGCUCCAAAGCCUGGGAUACGCUGAGGGCCUUUCCAUAACAGAAAAUGAAAAGGAACCUAAAUUUGAGACUAGAUUUGAGGAAAGGCACAGUUGCGCUGGAGUAGAAAGCGUCUGUCUACCGCAGUGGAAAAAUCUGAAUCUCGAAUGAUGACUGCAAGUGGUUGAAGAUCCAUCAUUACUCUUUCUUCAGAGUAUCCCUGGUUCCUGAUCAUUUCAAGGCCCAAUUUUUUACCUUUCCCUUUGAUUAUUGAACUAAAGGGCUCCCAAAAUCUCUCCUGCAGCAUUUUCCUUGAGAAGGAGGAAGGUUUGCAUCUCUGUGAGAAGAAACAUCAGAAGCAGUUGAAAGACCAGGAUGUGGGUCCUCUGGGGCUGAGGAGGCAUUCUGAAUCAACUGUGUGUUCUACACCUGUGUUUUAACUGUGACCUGUCACAUGAGGACAAGUGUGGAAUUUCCCACUUUUGUGCCAUAAAUCUCUCUCUGGGAACAGUGUGGAAGAUGGAUUGAAAUGGUGUAAAAUUGAAGAUGUGGACUCCGGUUGGGAGACUACACCCUAGAUAAGAUGAAGAGAACUUGAAGCAAGACAAUAGCAAUGGGAAUAUAAAGGAGAGGAGACAUUUGAGUGAAAUUAAGGAAGCACAAUCUGCAGACUGUUUUCUUUUUUUUAAGAGUCAGGGUCUCCCUAUUUUGCCCAGGCUGGUCUCAAAGUCCUAGGCUCAAGCGACCCACCCACCUCAGCCUUCCAAAAUGCUGGAAUUACAGGGGUGAACUGCCUCACCAUGCCUCAGUCUGCAGAAUUUGAUGACUGAAUGUAUUUGGAGAGAGUCUGUGGCUUGGAUGACUGGGAGCUGUGAUUGGUUGAUUGAUUUUGAGGCGGAGUUUCACUCUUGUUGCCCAGGCUGAAGUGCAGUGGCACAACCUCUGCUCACUGCAACCGCUGCC